GAUCCUGCCCUGGUGGGAGGAAGGGGUGGAGGAUGGGGGAAUAAUGUCCUGGAGCCUCAACAUUGGCACUGACACAGACAGGAGCUGGCCCAUCUGCUUCCUGCAGGGACCUGGGACAAAGCUUAGAUGGGAAACUGAGGCUCAGAAAAUCAGCUGUGUUGAGGUCACAUAGCCAGAGCGCAGGCUCCUCCUUGCCACCACUCUACUCCUUUCCCUCUAGUCACCUUUAAUCACCCACUACAGGUCUCAGUACCCUCCUGCUUGGGAAGUCCCUCUUUGUAUCUAACUUCCAUUUGCCUUACUGCAAGUCGGGCCUGUUGGGAUUGGUCAAUGUCAUAUCCUCAGGGUAGGAGAUGAAGGCUGCCUUCAGAAGAGCUGGUACCCAGAGUGCCUACCCUCGUGGAUCAGUUUCAGUUGUAUUCUGGUACUGGGGGCUAGUCCAGGGUCAUCUGGCCUGUCAUUUGCCCCAAAUCACCCCCUCUAGGCCACCUGUGGGAUUCUGUGUUGUGUGUGUUUAUGUAUGUGUAUGUAUAUCUGUGUAGUUGUGUUUGUGGUGUGUUUCUGCUUAAGUAUGUCUGCCUGCUUGUCUCUCUGUUACCCGUCUGUCCUCUAUGUGUCUGUAUCUGUCAGGAUACUGCCUCUGUGUUGGUAAUGGGUUUGUCUGUCUGUCUGUAGUGUGUUGUUUCCCUGUAUUUGCAUGCUUGUUGGCUGGUGUGUCUGUGUGUAUAGCUGUGUGACGGUCCCCAUCUGUGUCUGCCUAUUUACUAGGUGUCUGUGUAUCUGUGGAGGGGAGGUAUCUGUGUCUGUUUUGGGGGGUUUGGCUGUCUGCCUGUCCUUGCCUGUCUGUCUGUCUGUGCAUAGGAGGCAGAAACACAAGAGCAGGGGAAGAUCGCAAAGCCAAGAGCAUGGCUGGGGAUGGCGGUGGCAGGGGGCGGUGUUCCUGCUCAUCACUGAGCGUGGCACUGAGCCCACCCCAAUCGAAUCUCAUGACUCACUGGGUUCCUUGGCCAAAGAGGAGAGGAAAAGGGCAGGGUCUGGGAGGGGGGCUGGAACCCCACUUUCCUUUUCCAUGGUCUCCUCCUUCCUGGUGACUCAUUCUGUUUUAUUCUUAUCCAAGGGCCUGGGGCAGAGCAACAGGUGAGGAAACACAGCAGCCCUCUGCCUCCGAUGAGACAGGUGGCCUGGGAUUUAGCAGUGACUCUGGCCUCCCUCACUUGUGACUCUGGGCAGACACUGCCCGUCUCAGCCUUGGUUUGAUAUCUGUACCCGGAUGCUCCCUUGAGGCCCUUUCAUGCUCUUUUCUUUCUAUAAAGGGAGCUGAAAUGAAAAAGGGGCAGUGACAUGCCUAAGGUCAUACAGCAGAGCAGAGGCACAGGCCUCCUCUCUUCUCCUUAGGAGUCCAGCACCCCCCUCACCCCCCAAACAGCUGCUCUGGAUGCUCAGAAUGGUCCAUUCUCCUCUAGAGGCUGAACAGAGCCUCUUGGGAAGACAAAGACCCAUUGUGCUCCAUUCAUCCUAGGUCUGGGGCCAAGAACCCACUCAUUGAAGCCCAGGGGCUCAGAUGUUUGGGUCCCAAAUGGCACUACCACUCAGGGUGCAGGUCUCUGGUGUCCUACUGUGGUCAGCUGGACAUGUGUAGAACUUGGAGCAACGAUACCGAGUACUGAGUGUAAGAUCCAGGCCAGGCCUAAUGUUGUGUGUAUUGGGCCAUGUCGUGACAUGUCAGGCUUUCUGGGGCCUUUUGGAUUGCCUUAUAAAAAGCACUGCCUGCAGGGCUGUGUGACAGGCAGAAUGUUGUGCUACUGCAGCAUGCUGGAAUUUGUGGUAGAUAAAAAUUCGGGGCCACGUGGAAGUGCUUUGUACAGUGCUGUGGCAUGCUUUACUGUCCGAUUUUGUCAUUCAUUCAACAAAUAUUUAUUGAACAUUUACUAUGUGCCAAGCUCUGUGCCAAGCACUCAGUGUUCAGGUUUGAGCCAAACAGACACAGGUCCUGCUAUUGUGAAAUCUUCAAUCUAAUGGGAAGACAGACAGAUGAGUAAGCAAAGAUACCAAUAAGUCCUUCCACAGUGUGCAGUGCCAUGAAGAGAUACACGUGGCAUAGGGACCUGGAGUAAUGCAGUGGUCAAGGCGGUCUCAGAGAGGAGAUGACCUCUGAGCUGAGGCCUGAAGGACGGGAAGGAGAAACCAUUCUUGGAGCCCAGGGGAGCGAGGACCAGGAAGCCAGGUCAGCAUGAGCGACAACAGCCCUGAGGCCUGGCACAGGAGUGAGAGCAAGUUACAGCCAAAGUGAGAUGGGAAAAGAAGAGAGGAUGGAGGAUGGAGGAUUAGGUGUGAAAUCCUUAUCACAAUCAAAGCCACUAGAGAAACAGAGUAGGAUUUCUGGCAGUGUGGAGCGACCACUUGAAGUUACUGAAUUUGCAAUGACCUGCCAGUCUGCCAUACGCAGCAUGUGCCAAGCGUGGGCUUUUCCCCAGGGGACAUGGACGGAAGAGAAGAGGAGGCAAUGUGACUGUGGUUGCAGAGAUUGGAGUGACGCAGCCACAACCCAAGGAAUACCUGGAGCCACCAGAAACUGGAGGAGGCAAGAAACAGAUUCUCCCCUAGAGCCACCAGAGGGAAAAUGGACCCAUUGAAAGCUUGAUUUUGAACUUCUAGUCUCCAUAAC